rnacentral:rRNA from 1 species
AUUGAACGCUGGCGGCAUGCUUUACACAUGCAAGUCGAACGGCAGCGCGGGCUUCGGCCUGGCGGCGAGUGGCGAACGGGUGAGUAAUGCAUCUGAACUUGCCCAGUAGUGGGGGAUAGCCCGGCGAAAGCCGGAUUAAUACCGCAUACGACCUGAUGGUGAAAGCGGGGGACCGAAAGGCCUCGCGCUAUUGGAGCGGCCGAUGUCGGAUUAGCUAGUUGGUGGGGUAAAGGCUUACCAAGGCGACGAUCCGUAGCUGGUCUGAGAGGACGACCAGCCACACUGGGACUGAGACACGGCCCAGACUCCUACGGGAGGCAGCAGUGGGGAAUUUUGGACAAUGGGGGCAACCCUGAUCCAGCAAUGCCGCGUGCGGGAAGAAGGCCUUCGGGUUGUAAACCGCUUUUGUUCGGGAAGAAAUCCUCUGGGCUAAUACCCCGGGGGGAUGACGGUACCGGAAGAAUAAGCACCGGCUAACUACGUG